rnacentral:lncRNA from 1 species
CGGCGUCGAAGGUGAGCCUCCUCCCCUUCCUCUCUUUUCCUCUUUUCUUCCCGUGCCCGUGUGCACGAUCGCCGGUGACCGGAGUCGCCGGAUUUUGUUGCGGAAGAAACCUCUAUUUUUACCCUCUUUUCUUUGAUUUUUCGAACGUCGGUGGUCGCCGUCGGCCACCAGUUUGGGUCCUUCCGAACCACCCGUCGUCAUCCUUUUAUCGCCGGCC